rnacentral:rRNA from 1 species
UGGGGAAUAUUGGGCAAUGGGGGCAACCCUGACCCAGCGACGCCGUGUGAGGGAUGAAGGCUUUCGGGUCGUAAACCUCUGUCAGGAGGGAAGAAACGCAUGGGGAUAAACAAGCCCUGUGCCUGACGGUACCUCCAAAGGAAGCACCGGCUAACUCCGUGCCAGCAGCCGCGGUAAUACGGAGGGUGCAAGCGUUAUUCGGAAUUACUGGGCGUAAAGCGUGCGUAGGCGGCUUGGUAAGUCAGGUGUGAAAGCCCUCGGCUCAACCGAGGAACUGCAUUUGAUACUGCCAGGCUAGAGUGUGGGAGAGGGCAGCGGAAUUCCCGGUGUAGGAGUGAUAUCCGUAGAUAUCGGGAGGAACACCAGUGGCGAAGGCGGCUGCCUGGACCACAACUGACGCUGAGGCACGAAAGCGUGGGUAGCAAACAGG